rnacentral:rRNA from 1 species
UACGAAGGGGAGCUAGCGUUGCUCGGAAUCACUGGGCGUAAAGCGCACGUAGGCGGAUUGUUAAGUCAGGGGUGAAAUCCUGGAGCUCAACUCCAGAACUGCCUUUGAUACUGGCGAUCUUGAGUUCGGGAGAGGGAUGCAGAAUUCCAGGUGUAGCGGUGAAAAUGCGUAGAUAUCUGGAGGAACACCGGUGGCGAAGGCGGCGUCCUGGACCAACACUGACACUGAUGAGCGAAAAGCCAGGGGAGCAAACGGG